CUAAACUUAUGGGUCUGCUUGUUCUCAGCUGAAGAACUCAUAAUCACAAGGAAACCUCAGGGUGGGAUGCAGAAAAAGACUGGUUCUUGUCAGAGAACAUGUUAGAAUCGGGAUUAACUCUGAUGUUGCCUGCCUCAUUCACUACACAGCUUCCAACUGCUUCAACAAAUAAGGACAAUAUCUUAUAGACAAUUACCUCGCUUACCACAUGGCCCUCGUUCAUUCCCUGACCGCUAUCCAUCCUGUGCACUGGAUAAGGAAAGGGUGCACUGGAAACAAAGUAUCAGUGGCUGGCCACUGUCAGAGACAGGAUACUGGACUAAACAGACCACAGGACUACUCCAGUCUGACAAUUCUCAUGUUCCUAUUUUUUAAUUGCCGUAAGAUGGUUAUCUUCCAACUCAGAAUGUACCUGUUAGUCAACUGGGAGAACUGCUACCUCAUUCCCCUGGACCCCAAAAUUAGGAUUUAACCUACACACUUCAAUAGACAUCGUUUGGGGGUAAUUACCUGUGUGUGUCAGCAAUAUGUUAAUUUGAGCCUUGGGCAGAGCCAUUAUGUAAUCUUUUAGACCACUGGCUUAUUGUGCUUAUCUUGUUUUGCUGCUAGAACCUAUCCAGGGGCUUGGGAAACCCAUCCGCAUCGCUUCCCUAUAUAAUCUAUUGUAAUUAAUUGUUCUGCAGUGUCUCUGAGCCUGAUAAGCAAGGUGACGCUCCACCAG